AUUGAACGCUGGCGGCAUGCCUUACACAUGCAAGUCGAACGGCAGCGCGGACUUCGGUCUGGCGGCGAGUGGCGAACGGGUGAGUAAUACAUCGGAACGUACCCUGUUGUGGGGGAUAACUAGUCGAAAGAUUAGCUAAUACCGCAUACGACCUGAGGGUGAAAGCGGGGGACCGCAAGGCCUCACGCAGCAGGAGCGGCCGAUGUGGGAUUAGGUAGUUGGUGGGGUAAAGGCCCACCAAGGCGACGAUCAGUAGCGGGUCUGAGAGGACGAUCAGCCACACUGGGACUGGGACACGGCCCGGGCUCCUACGGGAGGCAGGAGUGGGGAAUUUUGGACAAUGGGGGCAACCCUGAUCCAGCAAUGCCGCGUGUGUGAAGAAGGCCUUCGGGUUGUAAAGCACUUUUGUCCGGAAAGAAAUCGCGCUGGUUAAUACCUGGCGUGGAUGACGGUACCGGAAGAAUAAGCACCGGCUAACUACGUGCCAGCCGCCGCCGUAA
rnacentral:rRNA from 1 species